UACGAAGGGUGCAAGCGUUACUCGGAAUUACUGGGCGUAAAGCGUGCGUAGGUGGCGACGUAAGUCGGGUGUGAAAGCCCCGGGCUCAACCUGGGAAUUGCAUUCGAGACUGCAUUGCUGGAGUACGGAAGAGGAGGGCGGAAUUCCCGGUGUAGCGGUGAAAUGCGUAGAUAUCAGGAGGAACACCGGUGGCGAAGGCGGCCACCUGGACGGCUACUGACACUGAGACGCGAAAGCGUGGGGAGCAAACAGG
rnacentral:rRNA from 1 species